AAUAAAUAAAAGCAAUAAAAUAAAAUAAAAACCAACCUGCACUUAAUCAAUAGUGCCAACCAACAAAACACUUUUUGGAUUCCUUGCACGGGUUCUCCUAGUCUCCUAGACCAACGCUGCUCAGAUCAUCCUCCUAGUUAGUUCACAACCCGCCAUUAAAGAAAAAUAAGAAGAAGAUUUAGGUUGGGCUCCGCGCGUGCGCAUACUGACACAAAUUCAAAAGUGCCGCCGAAUUAGCUCCGCCCACAACGGUUUGAAUGAGUUUCAGGCUGUUCCUCUGGGAAAUGUUUAAGAUAAUAACGCGCUUUUUCACUACAAGAUUCUGAGGAUACUACAGAAGAGAUCAAGCUGAUUAAGGUCGUGUGGAGAAACUGUGGAGCUCAACAGCAGAAAAGCAUGCCAAAGAGCAACCUCCUGUACAAGUCUGCUUUCCAAAGAGGCCACUCACCUAAGACUGUCCUGCUGUUGGUUAUUAAAGCUCUGUGACUCCAACAACUUUUAAGUCAUCUGUGCUUAUUUUGCUGGAUUUGUGUGCGGCUUUAAUAAUACGGAACAGUUAUCCACCUGAUUGUCCGUGUCUUUGGAACCUCACUCCAGUUGUCCGAGUCUUACCUCUCAGCUGGAUGUCCUGACAGUUGCUGCUCUCAUUUUUGCCUCCUGGACAGAAAUAUCUUGCUGUAUGUUGAAUGAUCAUCAACUCAACCCUGCCAAGACAGAACUGCUCAUGUUUUCAGCUGAUCUAACUUUGGUGUUAUUGUUGACGUAUAUAUAAAUUGCACUGGCCCGAUCCUGCAGAUUUGCCCUGUACAACAUUAUGAAGAUCAGACUCUUUCUUUUGGGCCAUGCUACAGAUCUUCCUGUCCAAGCUCUUGUUCUCUCCAAACUGGACUGUUGUAUUGCUCUCUUAGCAGACUUUCCAGCAUCUACUACCAAGCCUCUGCAGCUAAUCCAGCCUAUGGCACUGAGACUGAUCUUCAACAAGCUGAAGAGUGCACAUCACUUUUUUAAUUUUUUUAUAUUAACUGCUGUGUCUACUGUGUUAAACUAACUUGGAUUUGGUAUGUUGCUUUGGAUAAAAUGUCAUUGUGAAUGUAUAAAGGUUUUUAAAUUGCCAUUUAAUGUAGGUAUUUUUUGCAUGCUCUAACUUAUUUUCUAUAAUUGGAUUGUUCAUUUAACUUGACAUACAGUGCUUCUGUUCAAUUAUUAAUACUGUGAAUGUGCAGGUUCCUUUUAUAAGUACAGAAUAUACAGUAGCGCUGAUUGCUCUACUGUCCAAACAUGUUAAACUGUAAUAUGUCUGGAAAAUGAACUAUUAAGAUGUAUCUACAGAUGUUUGUCUGUGUAUUAUGAAUUGAGUAUAUUUUUAUACAACAUUUUUUGAUUAUUAUAAUUAAUGAUGUCUGUAUUUAUACAGUAAAUGCCUUUUAAUUUACAGAGAUUAAAUAUACAAACAUUUUAAAUAUGUGCUUUCUAGAUUUAUUUAAUCGUUAUUGUACAUGAGGAAAACUGUACUUUUACAAUAAAUUAAUGUAAAUGGACAGAUCAGAUUUAUAAAAUAACAAAUUAAAUCCUUAAAUUUAUGGUGAUUAACCUGACAGUUGGUUGUUUUUCUAUGUUAUUUGACAUAAUUUAUCUUUUUUUCUAUAGUUAAAAAAAUAUUUAUCAACAGUAAUAUUCUGUAAUUUAAGUACUUUUGACUGUAUUUUUACAGUUUUUUGAUAGUAAUUUUGUGAAAUGGUGAUUUCUGUAAUUUAACGGAUUAUCUCUGGAAGCCCUGCUGCCAGUCUUUUUACCAUUUUUUUACAGAUUUUUUUUUAGCAGUGUAGGAGAGAUUUUUGGAAUAAGCAUGUAAGCCCAUGCCAGCUUUGCUAAAGUGGUUUCACUUUCUCAGAAUCAGAUACAUUUCUGAAGCAAAAAUGUAUCUAAUGAAGGGUAUCCCUCCUUCCUUUGCAUGUGAUGCAAUGGAAAUAUUACCAUGACAAUGAUGAGAUCCCUUUAUAACUAUUGAAAUGUGAGUAUCUGAAUAUUAAUAAAUAAACAAUUAACU